UACAGAGGGGGCAAGCGUUAUUCGGAAUUAUUGGGCGUAAAGGGCGCGUAGGCGGCCACGCACGUCCGUUGUGAAAUCGCCCGGCUCAACUGGGCGGGGUCAGCGGAUACGGUGUGGCUCGAGCAAGCUAGGGGGCAAUGGAAUUCCCGGUGUAGUGGUGGAAUGCGUAGAUAUCGGGAGGAACACCAGUGGCGAAGGCGGUUGCCUGGAGCUUUGCUGACGCUGAUGCGCGAAAGCGUGGGGAGCGAUCCGG
rnacentral:rRNA from 1 species